UUACUACUCCCUCCGUCCAACAAAGGAUGUCUCAACUUUGACCAAAUUUGAAUGCAUCUAUACACUAAGUCAUGUCUAGAUACAUCCAAAUUUUGACAAACUUGAGACAUUUUUUGUUGGACGGAGUGAGUAUUAC
rfam:Brachypodium distachyon strain Bd21 chromosome 1, whole genome shotgun sequence.